rnacentral:rRNA from 1 species
UGCGUAGGCGGGCUAAUAAGUCAGUGGUGAAAUCUCUCGGCUCAACCGGGAAACUGCCAUUGAUACUGUUAGUCUUGAGUUCGGUUGAGGUAGGCGGAAUGUGUAAUGUAGCGGUGAAAUGCUUAGAUAUUACACAGAACACCAAUUGCGUAGGCAGCUUACUAGACCGACACUGACGCUGAGGCACGAAAACGUGGGGCGCGAACAGGAUUAGAUACCCUGGUAGUCC